AAUACCAAGAUCCAUCUUACUCUUUUGUA
rnacentral:sRNA from 1 species